rnacentral:lncRNA from 10 species
UGUACUUUACUUCGGGUAACUGAAACCGUGAAAAGCAAAACCACGGGAACAUAGCAAGAAGGCAGAAACAGAGCCCUCAUCAGACACAACAUGCUGGCACCUUAAUAUUGGAAUUCUGGCCUCCAGGACUAUGAGAAGAUACAUGUCAGGUUCUCCAGAAGCAGAUGCAGAAAUAACAUCUAGAGUGUGGGGUGUUGAUUAAGGAUGAAUUUCUGUGAGCAGAAGAGAAAAAAGAGGAGAUAGAGGAAGAAGGUGAACUUCCUCGUGGGAACAACCAUGCCUCAGUAACCCCAGGAUCUCCGGAGGGAGGACUGGACAAAUCACACCUAACAGCGUGUCCUGUGUCACAGUAAAAUGGGCAGGUGUUUAUUGCCACUUGGCUCAGUCACAAAAUGCCUUGGCCCUGGGAAGGACAGGAGAACUGCAGGCAGAGCAGUUCUCUGCAGGGCGGGUGGAAGCUGAAGGAGCUGACAGCCAAAUGCUGUUUACAGACCACACUCCCUACUCCUGGGCAGGCAAGUCUGGACUUCAAGGGGAAGGUCAGCGACUCAGCCUCUUAUGACUUCCACACUUCCUUGCAGGUAUGACUUUGCAUCAGCUGGUCAUAAACACCCCUCACAAUGAUGAAAGCAAUGGACUCUGUCUCUGAAGAGAAAUGUGUGAGUGCCCACUGAUAAGUAUGUCACCAACAACUUCAAAAAUUGUUCAUAAGUGUUCCAAAACCCGCCCACAAGUUUUUACAGUGGAUAAACCUAAUUAGGGUUAACUUGACAUUGAAUUUUAUUUUCUUACUGCAUUUAAAUUCACAUCCAACUGUAUUUCAAUAAAAUCUCAAAAUCAAAAUGAU